UACGAAGGGGGCUAGCGUUGUUCGGAAUUACUGGGCGUAAAGCGCACGUAGGCGGAUACUUAAGUUAGGGGUGAAAUCCCGGGGCUCAACCCCGGAACUGCCUUUGAUACUGGGUAUCUGGAGUCCGAGAGAGGUGAGUGGAAUUCCGAGUGUAGAGGUGAAAUUCGUAGAUAUUCGGAGGAACACCAAUGGCGAAGGCAGCACUCUGGGACGUGACUGACGCUGAGACGCGAAAGCGUGGGGAGCAAACAGG
rnacentral:rRNA from 1 species